rnacentral:rRNA from 1 species
GACGAACGCUGGCGGCGUGCUUAACACAUGCAAGUCGAGCGGAAAGGCCCUUUCGGGGGUACUCGAGCGGCGAACGGGUGAGUAACACGUGAGUAAUCUGCCCUUGGCUUUGGGAUAACUACCGGAAACGGUGGCUAAUACCGGAUAUGACCAUGCUCGGCAUCGGGUGUGGUGGAAAGUUUUUUCGGCCAGGGAUGUGCUCGCGGCCUAUCAGCUUGUUGGUGGGGUAAUGGCCUACCAAGGCUUCGACGGGUAGCCGGCCUGAGAGGGUGACCGGCCACACUGGGACUGAGACACGGCCCAGACUCCUACGGGAGGCAGCAGUGGGGAAUAUUGGACAAUGGGCGGAAGCCUGAUCCAGCAACGCCGCGUUGAGGGAUGACGGCCU